rnacentral:rRNA from 1 species
CAUGCGCAUCUAUAAUGCAGUCGAGCGGACAGAUGGGAGCUUGCUCCCUGAUGUUAGCGGCGGACGGGUGAGUAACACGUGGGUAACCUGCCUGUAAGACUGGGAUAACUCCGGGAAACCGGGGCUAAUACCGGAUGGUUGUUUGAACCGCAUGGUUCAAACAUAAAAGGUGGCUUCGGCUACCACUUACAGAUGGACCCGCGGCGCAUUAGCUAGUUGGUGAGGUAAUGGCUCACCAAGGCAACGAUGCGUAGCCGACCUGAGAGGGUGAUCGGCCACACUGGGACUGAGACACGGCCCAGACUCCUACGGGAGGCAGCAGUAGGGAAUCUUCCGCAAUGGACGAAAGUCUGACGGAGCAACGCCGCGUGAGUGAUGAAGGUUUUCGGAUCGUAAAGCUCUGUUGUUAGGGAAGAACAAGUACCGUUCGAAUAGGGCGGUACCUUGACGGUACCUAACCAGAAAGCCACGGCUAACUACGUGCCAGCAGCCGCGGUAAUACGUAGGUGGCAAGCGUUGUCCGGAAUUAUUGGGCGUAAAGGGCUCGCAGGCGGUUUCUUAAGUCUGAUGUGAAAGCCCCCGGCUCAACCGGGGAGGGUCAUUGGAAACUGGGGAACUUGAGUGCAGAAGAGGAGAGUGGAAUUCCACGUGUAGCGGUGAAAUGCGUAGAGAUGUGGAGGAACACCAGUGGCGAAGGCGACUCUCUGGUCUGUAACUGACGCUGAGGAGCGAAAGCGUGGGGAGCGAACAGGAUUAGAUACCCUGGUAGUCCACGCCGUAAACGAUGAGUGCUAAGUGUUAGGGGGUUUCCGGCCCUUUAAGUGCUGCCAGCUAACGCAUUAAAGCAACUCCGACUGGGGAGUACGGUCCGCAAGGACUGAAACUCAAAG